rnacentral:rRNA from 1 species
UACGUAGGGGGCAAGCGUUACCCGGAUUUACUGGGCGUAAAGCGCGUGUAGGCGGCUGGCCAAGUGUGGUGUGAAAUCCCCCGGCUCAACCGGGGAACUGCAUUGCAAACUGGUCUGGCUAGAGUGCAGGAGAGGGAAGUGGAAUUCCCGGUGUAGCGGUGAAAUGCGCAGAUAUCGGGAAGAACACCUAUGGCGAAGGCAGCUCUCUGGGACGGUACUGACGCUGAGACGCGAAAGCGUGGGGAGCGAACAGG